GUGGGGAAUAUUGCACAAUGGGGGAAACCCUGAUGCAGCAACGCCGCGUGAGUGAUGACGGUCUUCGGAUUGUAAAGCUCUGUCUUCAGGGACGAUAAUGACGGUACCUGAGGAGGAAGCCACGGCUAACUACGUGCCAGCAGCCGCGGUAAUACGUAGGUGGCAAGCGUUGUCCGGAUUUACUGGGCGUAAAGGGAGCGUAGGUGGAUAUUUAAGUGGGAUGUGAAAUACUCGGGCUUAACCUGGGUGCUGCAUUCCAAACUGGAUAUCUAGAGUGCAGGAGAGGAAAGUAGAAUUCCUAGUGUAGCGGUGAAAUGCGUAGAGAUUAGGAAGAAUACCAGUGGCGAAGGCGACUUUCUGGACUGUAACUGACACUGAGGCUCGAAAGCGUGGGGAGCAAACAGGAUUAGAAACCCGAGUAGUCC
rnacentral:rRNA from 1 species